UAAAUUCUGAUUAAAUAGGUUGGUAAGUGAAAUUAGUAGGAUAAAUUCUGAUUAAAUAGGUUGGUAAGUGAAAUUAGUAGGAUAAAUUCUGAUUAAAUAGGUUGGUAAGUGAAAUUAGUAGGAUAAAUUCUGAUUAAAUAGGUUGGUAAGUGAAAUUAGUAGGAUAAAUUCUGAUUAAAUAGGUUGGUAAGUGAAAUUAGUAGGAUAAAUUCUGAUUAAAUAGGUUGGUAAGUGAAAUUAGUAGGAUAAAUUCUGAUUAAAUAGGUUGGUAAGUGAAAUUAGUAGGAUAAAUUCUGAUUAAAUAGGUUGGUAAGUGAAAUUAGUAGGAUAAAUUCUGAUUAAAUAGGUUGGUAAGUGAAAUUAGUAGGAUAAAUUCUGAUUAAAUAGGUUGGUAAGUGAAAUUAGUAUGAUAAAUUCUGAUUAAAUAGGUUGGUAAGUGAAAUUAGUAGGAUAAAUUCUGAUUAAAUAGGUUGGUAAGUGAAAUUAGUAGGAUAAAUUCUGAUUAAAUAGGUUGGUAAGUGAAAUUAGUAGGAUAAAUUCUGAUUAAAUAGGUUGGUAAGUGAAAUUAGUAGGAUAAAUUCUGAUUAAAUAGGUUGGUAAGUGAAAUUAGUAGGAUAAAUUCUGAUUAAAUAGGUUGGUAAGUGAAAUUAGUAGGAUAAAUUCUGAUUAAAUAGGUUGGUAAGUGAAAUUAGUAGGAUAAAUUCUGAUUAAAUAGGUUGGUAAGUGAAAUUAGUAGGAUAAAUUCUGUAAGUG